rnacentral:tRNA from 1 species
AGGUCGGUAGCUCAGUGGACAGAGCGAUCGGUUCCGAACCGAUUGGUCGGUGGUUCAAAUCCACCCCGGCCUG